CCUACGGGCGGCUGCAGUGAGGAAUAUUGGUCAAUGGGCGCAAGUCUGAACCAGCCAUGCCGCGUGAAGGAUGACGGCUCUAUGGGUUGUAAACUGCUUUUAUACAGGAGUACACAUGAAUACGUGUAUUCAACUGUCAGUACUUUACGACUAGGGAUCGGCUAACUCCGUGCCAGCAGCCGCGGUAAUACGGAGGAUCCAAGCGUUAUCCGGAUUUAUUGGGUUUAAAGGGAGCGUAGGCGGAUUGUUAAGUUAGAGGUGAAAUUUCUGAGCUUAACCGUGGAAUUGCAUUUAAUACUGGUAGUCUUGAGUAUAGAUGAGGUAGGCGGAAUGCAUGGUGUAGCGGUGAAAUGCUUAGAGAGCACAAAGAACACCGAUUGCGAAGGCAGCUGACUAAUCUACAACUGACGUUGAGGCACGAAAGUGUGGGGAGCAAACAGGAUUAGAUACCCGUGUAGUC
rnacentral:rRNA from 1 species